rnacentral:rRNA from 1 species
GACGAACGCUGGCGGCGUGCUUAACACAUGCAAGUCGAGCGGUAAGGCUCCUUCGGGAGUACACGAGCGGCGAACGGGUGAGUAACACGUGAGUAAUCUGCCCUUCACUUCGGGAUAACCGCCGGAAACGGCGGCUAAUACCGGAUACGACGCACUCUCGCAUGGGAUGUGCGUGGAAAGUUUUCUUGGUGAAGGAUGUGCUCGCGGCCUAUCAGCUUGUUGGUGAGGUAACGGCUCACCAAGGCUUCGACGGGUAGCCGGCCUGAGAGGGUGACCGGCCACACUGGGACUGAGACACGGCCCAGACUCCUACGGGAGGCAGCAGUGGGGAAUAUUGGACAAUGGGCGGAAGCCUGAUCCAGCAACGCCGCGUGAGGGAUGACGGCCUUCGGGUUGUAAACCUCUUUCAGCACCGACGAAGCUUUUGUGACGGUAGGUGCAGAAGAAGGACCGGCCAACUACGUGCCAGCAGCCGCCGUAAAAC